rnacentral:rRNA from 1 species
CCCUUAGAUGUUCUGGGCCGCACGCGCGCUACACUGACUGGUGCAACAAGUGUCUGACCUUGGCUCGAGAGGCCUGGGCAACCUUUGAACGCCAGUCGUGCUGGGGAUAGAUUCUUGCAAUUAUUAAUCUUCAACGAGGAAUUCCUAGUAAACGCAAGUCAUCAGCUUGCAUUGAUUACGUCCCUGCCCUUUGUACACACCGCCCGUCGCACCUACCGAUUGAAUGGUCCGGUGAAAUCCCGGGACGGCGGCUUGGUCGCUUGCGUCCGACUGCUGAAACUUGAUUAAACCAUAUCAUUUAGAGGAAGGUGAAGUCGUAACA